AGAGUUUGAUCAUGGCUCAGGAUGAACGCUGGCGGCGUGCUUAACACAUGCAAGUCGAGCGAGAAGUUUCAUGACAAUUCUUCGGAUGCGGAUUGAAACGGAAAGCGGCGGACGGGUGAGUAACGCGUAGGCAACCUGCCUCACACAAAGGGAUAGCAUCUGGAAACGGAUAUUAAUACCUUAUGACACCUUAGGUUCACAUGAACCCUAGGUCAAAGAUUUAUCGGUGUGAGAUGGGCCUGCGUUUGAUUCGCUAGUUGGUAGGGUAACGGCCUACCAAGGCGACGAUCAAUAGCCGACCUGAGAGGGUGAUCGGCCACACUGGAACUGAGACACGGUCCAGACUCCUACGGGAGGCAGCAGUGGGGAAUAUUGCACAAUGGGCGCAAGCCUGAUGCAGCAACGCCGCGUGAGUGAUGAAGGCUUUCGGGUCGUAAAACUCUGUCCUAAGGGAAGAAUAAAGGGACG
rnacentral:rRNA from 1 species